rnacentral:rRNA from 1 species
AAUGAACGCUGGCGGCGCGCCUAAUACAUGCAAGUCGAGCGAGAAGACGUAGCAAUACGUUUGUAAAGCGGCGAACGGGUGAGGAAUACAUGGGUAACCUACCCUCGAGUGGGGAAUAACUAGCCGAAAGGUUAGCUAAUACCGCGUACGCUUCUUGGACUUCGGUUCAGGGAGGAAAGCGAUACCGUGGGUAUCGCGCUCUUGGAUGGGCUCAUGUCCUAUCAGCUUGUUGGUGAGGUAACGGCUCACCAAGGCUUCGACGGGUAGUCGU